AUCAAGGGAAUUAGAGAGAGGAGCUUCAUGCUUCGGGUCGGGGAAGGAAAGACAUAGAAUUUGGAUUUUUCUUCUUCGUAGAGUUUUGGGAAGAUUGAAGCAAUCGCUGCUGAAGUCAGUGUUGUAAUGGUGAAUCGGGAUUUUUAAAUGAAGUGGGUUUGAAUACUCUUGACUAUUUUGUAAAAUCGAGUUACGUUUGUGAUUGAAGGAUUAAAGGGGUGUCUAUAGGAUUGAAUAUGCGGAGUGAAUGAAAUUUAUUGGGUUAAUCUAACAAGACAGUCAGUGGAUACAAGAUCGUAAGUACAAAGGGGUAUUGAAGAUUAAC
rnacentral:lncRNA from 1 species